CAUUGCGAAAAGUCAUGCGACCUGCACUUUUUGAGAAGCAUUACUCUUUGAACGCACCUUGCACGUGAGGCUAUUGCCUUACGAGGUCCUGUUUGAGCAAGAGAAUUAAGAUAAUAUUUGACUGUUGAAAGUAUUACAGCACACGACAGUUUAAAAAGAUAUGGGACAGCCUGAACGACUCUAAGGCAAGAUUUGAAAGUUUGACAGUGAUUCAAUUCACACAGUCAAAGUAUCAAACUAGUAUCAAACUCAUGAUAAACCAUAUUUAAAGGGUUAGAUAAGAGUUAACUACUCUAAUCUAAUCACUAACACACAACAACAUCUCAAAUCAGGAUAGAGGACCCGCUGAACUUAA
rnacentral:misc_RNA from 1 species